ensembl:lincRNA Y9D1A.1 ncRNA
AUGAGUCGGGAUGGAGAAUCGGCAUGGUUGGAUCGGGAGGCGAGAGCAAGGAGAAGGACCACAACGACAAGGACAAUAAAGGAUCGGAAUGAUCUAAUACAGAAAGACGACGAAGAAGGAUCGGGUCGGAAGGAUCGGGCCGGAAGGAUCAGGCCGGAAGGAUCAGGCCGGAAAGAUUGGGACGAGACGACGAUGGUGAGAGGGAGUCCGGAAACGUGGACAAUGACGACGAAGAAGGAUCGGGUCGGAAGGAUCGGGCCGGAAGGAUCGGGCCGGAAGGAUCGGGUCGGAAGGAUCGGAACGAGACGACGAUGGUGAGAGGGAGUCCGGAAACGUGGACAAUGAUCUAAUAGAAAGACGACGAAGAAGGAUCGGGCCGGAAGGAUCGGGCCGGAAGGAUCAGGCCGGAAAGAUCGGGACGAGACGACGAUGGUGAGAGGGAGUCCGGAAACGUGGGCAAUGAUCUACAAUAAAGACGACGAAGAAGGAUCGGGUCGGAAGGAUCGGGUCGGAAGGAUCGGAACGAGACUACGAUGGUGAGAGGGAGUCCGGAAACGUGGACAAUGAUCUAAUAGAAAGACGACGAAGAAGGAUCGGGCCGGAAGGAUCGGGUCGGAAGGAUCGGAACGAGACGACGAUGGUGAGAGGGAGUCCGGAAACGUGGACAAUGAUCUACAAUAAAGACGACGAAGAAGGAUCGGGUCGGAAGGAUCGGGCCGGAAGGGUCGGGCCGGAAGGAUCAGGCCGGAAGGAUCGGGACGAGACGACGAUGGUGAGAGGGAGUCCGGAAACGUGGACAAUGAUCUACAAUAAAGACGACGAAGAAGGAUCGGGUCGGAAGGAUCGGGUCGGAAGGAUCGGAACGAGACUACGAUGGUGAGAGGGAGUCCGGAAACGUGGACAAUGAUCUACAAUAAAGACGACGAAGAAGGAUCGGGUCGGAAGGAUCGGGCCGGAAGGGUCGGGCCGGAAGGAUCAGGCCGGAAGGAUCGGGACGAGACGACGAUGGGCAGAGGGAGUCCGGAAACGUGGACAAUGAUCUACAAUAAAGACGACGAAGAAGGAUCGGGUCGGAAGGAUCGGGUCGGAAGGAUCGGAACGAGACUACGAUGGUGAGAGGGAGUCCGGAAACGUGGACAAUGAUCUGCGAUAAAAGCGACGACGACGAACAGGAUGGAUGGAUCGGAAUAGAUCAGAAUGGAUCGGGAUGGUUGGAUCGGGAGAAGGCGAUAACCACGGCAACGACGACGAUGACGAGGACAAUAAAGGACCGGAAUGAGAUCUACGAUAAAGACGACGACGAAGGAUGGAACGGAACGAAAUCAGGAUACAACACUCUAUAAUU